ensembl:lncRNA
CAGGCACUGGGCUCUUCAACUGCUGAACACUACUUAACAAAUUUUCCCACUGUUUCCAGGGCUGUCCGUAUUGACACUUCAAAAGGGCAAAUGCCUUUGCUCAAGGUCACUGGCCAGGAAGUAGUGGAACUGGACUCGGAAUUUCAGGGCCAGCUGCCUCCCCACACCCAGAGAGAUUUCAUGGCACCAGGAGAGGCCAAGUAGGCGAGAAAGGAAACGGAAUGAUUCGUUUACUGCCCCGGGGCAUUUUCAGCAACAAGCGGAUUCUUUACCAACUGAGUUACCGGGGAGCCCUGACAAGCCCGUGGCAAUUCAUGGUUUGUGGAGGAGCGCAGUUUCUGAAAGCCCUGCCUCCAUCUGCAUGGGUGCCGACAGAGCCUCAUGAAGUCACCAUCCUGAGUUUGUGCAAACUCGAUUCUUACUGCAAUCCUGGGAGGCAGGUUGAACAACUGCCAUCAUCUUAAUUAGAGAGAAAUCUUGGUACAGAGAAGUCAAGUGAUUUGCCCAGGUCAUGGAGUGAGCUGGGAGAGGAGUGGGGAUCAGACAGGGUUGGGGCUGGGUCUCAGGUGGUUUGAAGCCUGAAGACAAUUGUUCGAAAGAGAGAACAGCUCUGCUUCCCCUUAAUAUAAUGGUGUCUGAGAAAUUUUUUUAAAGCAUCAUGCCUGCGUGCUAAGUCACUUGUGUCUGACUCUUUGAGACCCACUGGACUGCAGCCCGCCAGGCUCCUCUGUCCAUGGGAUUCUCCAGGCAAGAACAUCGGAAUGGGUUGCUGUGCCCAGCCCCAGAGGAUCUUCCGGACCCAAGGAUCGAAUCUACAUCUUUUGUCUCCUGCGUUGGCAGGCAGGUUCUUUAUCACGAGUGCCACCUGGGAUGCAAGAGAAGAAGCUGAUUCCUUUUUCUACUUCAGGUAAUUGGAACACCCAUUGUGUGCCUGGGACAUCUACGAGUUGGCUGCCUAAAUAAAGACUGAAGGAGCACAUAAAGAAUUGAAAGG